AUGAACUCUAUUCUAAAAUCCUACCAGCAGGACUAUGUGCUCUUUAGCCCAUCAUCACCACACAUAUUGGCAUUUAAACAGAAAGCUUUAGAGCAGUCUCUCUCGCUCUUUGUUUCUCUCUCCCCUGCUCUCUCUCUCUCUCUGUUGCUCUCUUUGUUGCUCUCUUUAUUGCUCUCUUUCUCUCUGUUGCUCUUUCUCUGUUGCUCUCUCCCAUGCUCUCUUUCUCUUUGUUGCUCUCUCCCCUGCUCUCUUUCUCUCUGUUGCUCUCUCUCUCUCUCUCUCUGUUGCUCUCUCCCCUGCUCUCUUUCUCUGUUGCUCUCUUUGUUGCUUUCUUUCUCUCUGUUGCUCUCUCCCAUGCUCUCUUUCUCUUUGUUGCUCUCUUUCUCUCUGUUGCUCUCUCCCCUGCUUUCUCUCUGUUGCUCUUUCUCUGUUGCUCUCUCCCAUGCUCUCUUUCUCUUUGUUGCUCUCUCCCCUGCUCUCUUUCUCUCUGUUGCUCUCUCUCUCUCUCUCUCUCUCUGUUGCUCUCUCCCCUGCUCUCUUUCUCUCUGUUGCUCUCUCUCUCUCUCUCUCUGUUGCUCUCUCCCCUGCUCUCUUUCUCUGUUGCUCUCUUUGUUGCUUUCUUUCUCUCUGUUGCUCUCUCCCAUGCUCUCUUUCUCUUUGUUGCUCUCUUUCUCUCUGUUGCUCUCUCCCCUGCUUUCUCUCUCUGUUGCUCUCCCCUGCUCUCUCUCUCUGUUGCUCUCCCCUGCUCUCUCUCUCUCUCUGUUGCUCUCUCUCCUGCUCUCUUUCUCUUUGUUGCUCUCUCCCCUGCUCUCUUUCUCUCUGUUGCUCUCUCCCCUGCUCUCUCUCUCUCUCUCUGUUGCUCGCUCCCCUGCUCUCUUUCUCUUUUUUGCUCUUUCUCUCUGUUACUCUCUCCCCUGCUCUCUUUCUCUCUGUUGCUCUCUCCCUUGCUCUCUUUCUCUUUGUUGCUCUCUCCCCUGCUUUAUUUCUCUUUGUUGCUCUCUCCCCGGCUCUCUUUCUCUCUGUUGCUCUCUCCCCUGCUUUAUUUCUCUCUGUUGCUCUCUCCUCUGCUCUCUUUCUCUGUUGCUCUCUCCCUCUCUACCUCUCCCCCCUCUCGCUCCCCUCUCUCUCCCUCUCUAUCUCUCUACCGCUCUUGCAUUCUCUCUCUCUCUCUCUCUCUCUCUCUCUCAAUUCAAUUAG
rnacentral:lncRNA from 8 species